UUCAUUCUCAAUUUUAUUCAGACUCAAAGCCAUGGUGGACUGCAUAAAAGCGACGCCAAGGCGCCGAAGCACGGUUUUCGCUUCCACAGGGGUUUGGGGUUUUGAAGGCCUCGGGUUGGAGGUCCAUUCGUUAAUGAUCCCUCCGCAGGUUCACCUACGGAGA
rnacentral:misc_RNA from 1 species